rnacentral:rRNA from 1 species
CGCGGCCUAUCAGCUUGUUGGUGAGGUAACGGCUCACCAAGGCAUCGACGGGUAGCUGGUCUGAGAGGACGAUCAGCCACACUGGGACUGAGACACGGCCCAGACUCCUACGGGAGGCAGCAGUAGGGAAUCUUGCGCAAUGGGCGAAAGCCUGACGCAGCAACGCCGCGUGGGGGAUGAAUGCCUUCGGGUUGUAAACCCCUUUCAGCAGGGACGAAAAUGACGGUACCUGCAGAAGAAGCUCCGGCCAACUACGUGCCAGCAGCCGCGGUAAUACGUAGGGAGCGAGCGUUGUCCGGAAUUAUUGGGCGUAAAGAGCUCGUAGGCGGUUUGUCGCGUCUGCUGUGAAAAUCCGAGGCUCAACCUCGGACCUGCAGUGGGUACGGGCAAACUAGAGUGCGGUAGGGGAGAUUGGAAUCCCUGGUGUAGCGGUGGAAUGCGCAGAUAUCAGGAGGAACACCAAUGGCGAAGGCAGAUCUCUGGGCCGUAACUGACGCUGAGGAGCGAAAGCGUGGGGAGCGAACAGGAUUAGAUACCCUGGUAGUCCACGCCGUAAACGGUGGGAACUAGGUAUGGGAUCAUAUCAACGGAUUCCGUGCCGUAGCUAACGCAUUAAGUGCCCCGCCUGGGGAGUACGG